GACGAACGCUGGCGGCGUGCUUAACACAUGCAAGUCGAACGGAAAGGCCCUGCUUUUGUGGGGUGCUCGAGUGGCGAACGGGUGAGUAACACGUGAGUAACCUGCCCUUGACUUUGGGAUAACUUCAGGAAACUGGGGCUAAUACCGGAUAGGAGCUCCUGCUGCAUGGGGGGGUUGGAAAGUUUCGGCGGUUGGGGAUGGACUCGCGGCUUAUCAGCUUGUUGGUGGGGUAGUGGCUUACCAAGGCUUUGACGGGUAGCCGGCCUGAGAGGGUGACCGGCCACAUUGGGACUGAGAUACGGCCCAGACUCCUACGGGAGGCAGCAGUGGGGAAUAUUGCACAAUGGGCGGAAGCCUGAUGCAGCAACGCCGCGUGCGGAUGACGGCCUUCGGGUUGUAAACCGCUUUCGCCUGUGACGAAGCGUGAGUGACGGUAAUGGGUAAAGAAGCACCGGCUAACUACGUG
rnacentral:rRNA from 1 species